UAAAAGUUGAUGUGUCAGUGAAUCUUCUAAAAUUAAGACAAAUUGAUUCUUGCAGAAAUCUCAAAACGACAAUGUAAAGAGCAAAACUUAUGUUAUUCAACAAUAACAAAAUCUCAAAACGAUAAAAUAACUAUUUCCACAAAGUUUAUGAUCCACCCCUCCACCCUUUCGUCCCUUCUCUGCCACCUCUGGUGACUACAUUCGUUUCUGGGAGGUUUGCAAAUCCUCCAUCAAGACCCUCUCCCUUUUCAACAAGACCAAUAAAAAUAUGUAACUAGAGUGUUUGUAAAAAUGCUUUAACUAAAUUUGAUGGAUCACGCACCUUCCAUGUCUAGGAAACAAAAACCAAUAAAAUCGUUAGUUGUACAUUAACCAGAGAAAUCGACGGCAACUCUUUCAAUUCCUCCGAACCUCUUGUGGCGGAUUCAACUGAGAGAAGCGCGUGAGCAGGUCGCCACGCCGUGCCUCCCCUUUCGGUCUCUCCGUCCUCAUUGCCAAUGCCGUGGGAUUCGUUGAGUUCCGUGUACGGGCUCAAUUCCACCCAAAGUCCCUUUCUCUUAGAAGGAUCGUAUGACGAACAAAGUAGGGAAGGACACAGCCCAUAACUAUAAUCAUAUCUAUAGGCUUUUCAUCACGAGCCUGAGGUUCUUCACGGUUUACGGACUUUUCAUCACAGUCCGCAAACCUUCUUUAACAACAGCAAGACCAACGAGUUCUGCGCCUUUCUCACCGUACCGCCUUCUAUUGGAACGACAUUGAUCUUAAACACAUUGAAACCUCAAGUAUCGAACAAGCAGGAUUUGGGGUACAUGGCUAUGAUCUUGAGGUUAGUAAUAAAGUUGUGAUAUUGCUUGGGCUUUGCAGAGUUCUAGGCACAUUUGUUUUGCUAGGAAUGAUGCUCAAGCUCUGAUUUAGGAAUUGCCUGCUAUGGCUGGACCUAAUGGGAUUGAUCCAAUAUUUAUGUAUUCUGUUGGGAUUUUAUUUGGUUUGGAUUUUCUUCUAGGGUCGAUUUGUCAUAAUUUUGGAAGAACAAAAUUCUACAUGAAAAAUCCACCG